GGACUACAAGGGUUUCUAAUCCCGUUCGCUCCCCUGGCUUUCGUGCCUCAGCGUCAGUUGAGACCCAGUGUGCCGCUUUCGCCACCGGCGUUCCUUCCGAUAUCAACACAUUUCACCGCUCCACCGGAAGUUCCGCACACCUCUAUCUCACUCGAGCUAUCCAGUUUAGGACGCAAUUCCCCGGUUGAGCCGGGGGCUUUCACACCCUACUUAAAUAGCCGCCUACGCACCCUUUAAGCCCAGUGAUUCCGAAUAACGUUUGCACAGUUCGUAUUACCGCGGCUGCUGGCAC
rnacentral:rRNA from 1 species